GGUUGAUCCUGCCAGUAGCAUAUGCUUGUCUCAAAGAUUAAGCCAUGCAUGUCCAAGUAUAAACCUUUAUACGGUGAAACUGCGAAUGGCUCAUUAUAUCAGUGAUCAUUUAUUUGAUAGUACCUUACUACAUGGAUAACCGUGGUAAUUCUAGAGCUAAUACAUGCGUAGAGAAAGCUGAGAGAUCAGUUUUGUAUUUAUUAGAUCCAAAACCAAAACAGUUGCAAGACUGAAGAGGUGAUUCAUAAUAACUUUUCAGAUCGUAUGACCUUGCGUUGACGACGUAUCAUUC
rnacentral:rRNA from 1 species